rnacentral:rRNA from 1 species
ACUGAAUCCAUAGGUGUAUGAAGGCAUACCAGGGGAACUGAAACAUCUAAGUACCCUGAGGAAAAGAAAGAAACAUCGAUUCCCUAAGUAGCGGCGAGCGAAAGGGGAAGAGCCCAAACCGAAGGCUUUAGACUUCGGGGUUGAGGACACAACGCAAAUUAAGAGGAGUAAGGUAGUCGAAGGGUCUGGAAAGUCCCACCACAGAAGGUGAAAGUCCUGUAGACGAAACCUGAAAAACUUAAGUUGUGAUCCAGAGUACCAUGGGACACGUGAAAUCCUGUGGGAAGCAGGGAGGCCCACCUCCCAAGGCUAAAUACUCCCUGGUGACCGAUAGCGGAGAAGUACCGUGAGGGAAAGGUGAAAAGAACCCCGGGAGGGGAGUGAAAUAGAACCUGAAACCCUAUGCCUACAAGCAGUGGGAGCUCUAUAUAGGAGUGACCGCGUACUUUUUGUAGAACGUGCCAGCGAGUUAUGGUAUCAAGCGAGGUUAAGUACUUAAGGUACGAAGCCGUAGGGAAACCGAGUCUUAAUAGGGCGGAUAGUUUGAUACCAUAGACCCGAAACCGGGUGAUCUACCCAUGGGCAGAGUGAAGUUGAAGUAAAAUUCAAUGGAGGCUCGAACCGUUUAGCGUUUAAAAGCUAUCGGAUGACCUGUGGGUAGGGGUGAAAAGCCAAUCGAACUCGGAGAUAGCUGGUUCUCCUCGAAAUAGCUUUAGGGCUAGCCUCGAGAGAAGUGAUAUGGAGGUAGAGCACUGACUGGUCUAGGGGCGCGUAGCGUUACCAAAACCUAUCAAACUCCGAAUGCCAUAAUCAUGAUACUCGGGAGUCAGACUAUGUGGGAUAAGCUUCAUAGUCGAGAGGGAAAGAGCCCAGACCACCAGCUAAGGUCCCUAAAUCCAAAUUAAGUGGCAAAGGAGGUAAGGUUACACAGACAACCAGGAUGUUGGCUUAGAAGCAGCCAUACAUUUAAAGAGUGCGUAAUAGCUCACUGGUCGAGUGACCUUGCGCCGAAAAUUUCCGGGGCUUAAAUUUGGUACCGAAGCUGUGGAUCGUAGUGAGAUUAAUAGAAUUUUCAAAGAAGCAGCAAAGGUUGAUGAAAUUUUUGCCGAAGACAACCAUAUAUAAAGAUAAAGGUUUUCGGCCAAAUUAGUCAAGUUAAAUUUGGUAAUAUUGAGAGCUGUAUUAAUCUCACUACGGUGGUAGAGGAGCGUUCUGUACGGGCAGAAGCCAUACCGAAAGGAGUGGUGGACUGUACAGAAGUGAGAAUGCUGGCAUGAGUAGCGAGAAGGUAAGUGAGAAUCUUACCCGUCGAAAGCCUAAGGUUUCCUGAGGAAGGCUCGUCCGCUCAGGGUUAGUCGGGACCUAAGCUGAGGCCGAGAGGCGUAGGCGAUGGACAACAGGUUGAGAUUCCUGUACUAUCGAUUUGCGUUUGAGAGAAGGGGUGACGCAGGAGGAUAAGCUGAGCGUGCGGUUGGUAGGGCACGUCUAAGCUGGUAGGGAGUAAAGAUAGGCAAAUCCGUCUUUACAAUCCUGAGAAGCGAAUGGGAGCGAAAAACAAGUAGCGAAGCAGCUGACUCCACACUGCCGAGAAAAGCCUCUAUCGAGUAAAUCGAUACCCGUACCGCAAACCGACACAGGUAGGCGAGGAGAGAAUCCUAAGACGCGCGGAAGAACCCUUGUUAAGGAACUCGGCAAAAUGGCCCCGUAACUUCGGGAGAAGGGGUGCCAGAAGAGGUGAAGAGGGGACCCUUGGAGCCUCAUCUGGCCGCAGUGAAUAGGCCCAAGCGACUGUUUACCAAAAACACAAGUCUCUGCUAAGUCGAAAGACGAAGUAUAGGGGCUGACACCUGCCCGGUGCUGGAAGGUUAAGGGGAAGAGUUAGGGGAAACCCGAAGCUCAGAACUUAAGCCCCAGUAAACGGCGGCCGUAACUAUAACGGUCCUAAGGUAGCGAAAUUCCUUGUCGGGUAAGUUCCGACCCGCACGAAAGGUGUAACGACUUGGGCACUGUCUCAACAAGGGAUCCGGUGAAAUUGUAGUACACGUGAAGAUGCGUGUUACCCGCGACAGGACGGAAAGACCCCGUGGAGCUUUACUGCAGGCUGACAUUGGAUUUUGGUAUUACAUGUACAGGAUAGGUGGGAGGCAGAGAAGCAUGGACGCCAGUCUAUGUGGAGCCGUCCUUGGGAUACCACUCUUGUAAUACUGAAGUUCUAACCAGAGGCUUUGAAACAAGUCAUGGGACACUGUCAGUUGGGCAGUUUGACUGGGGCGGUCGCCUCCUAAAGGGUAACGGAGGCGCUCAAAGGUUCCCUCAGCACGGUCGGAAAUCGUGCGAAGAGUGUAAAGGCAGAAGGGAGCUUGACUGUGACACUGACAAGUGGAGCAGGAACGAAAGUUGGACUUAGUGAUCCGGUGGUACCGAGUGGAAGGGCCAUCGCUCAACGGAUAAAAGCUACCCCGGGGAUAACAGGCUUAUCUCCCCCAAGAGUCCACAUCGACGGGGAGGUUUGGCACCUCGAUGUCGGCUCGUCUCAUCCUGGGGCUGGAGUAGGUCCCAAGGGUUGGGCUGUUCGCCCAUUAAAGAGGCACGCGAGCUGGGUUCAGAACGUCGUGAGACAGUUCGGUCCCUAUCCGUCGUGGGCGUAGGAAAUUUGAGAGGAGCUGUCCUUAGUACGAGAGGACCGGGAUGGACAGACCGCUGGUGUAUCAGUUGUUUCGCCAGAGGCAUAGCUGAGUAGCCAAGUCUGGACGGGAUAAGUGCUGAAGGCAUCUAAGCACGAAGCCCCCCUCAAGAUAAGAUUUCCCACCACAGAAAGUGGGUAAGACUCCAGGGAGACUACCUGGUAGAUAGGCCUUAAGUGUAAGAGCAGUAAUGCUUUAAGCUUAAAGGUACUAAUAAGUCGAGGGCUUGACC